GAUGGAUAGCAAGCUGUUUAAACAAACCCCUUUCUGGACUCAGGAGUCUGGAAGUAACCAGCUGCUGGUGGUAUUGGUUCAGCAGCUCAAUGUUAUCAUAUUUGCAAGAUGACUGCUCCAGCUUCAGCCAUCCCAUCUUUGUCCAAAGGUGGAAGAAUGAGCUUUUAACUCUGACGAGGCUCUGCCAAUACCUGGAUCCAGAUAAGUGUGAGUACUACAUUGGAACACAAGGCCUGACUACAGACUAGAAGUGGCUCCAGAAGCACUUCAUCUUCUGUGGCUAAGAAACAGGAUCUGUUCUGAGAAAAACCAACAUCUGUAACCACACGUUAAGAGUGCAUAAAUUCACACACACAUACAUCACAACAACAACAACAACAACAACUUUCUUUGAAAGAGGGGCGAGUGAUGUAGUUAUAAUCUCUCACUAUUGGAGAGUUUCUGAAACAUGUUCACAUCUCCUACCUCAUUUGAUCCUCCCCCAAAUGCAGUUUGGAAUAAGGCAUGCAGCCACUACAAGUCCUGUUUCACAGAUGAAGUGGGUGAGGUUUAGAAAAGCCAAGGGCCUAGCUCAAGGUCACAAGUUACUGGGUGGCGGAGCAGGGACGUGAGCCCAGGUGUCCGAGUCCUGUGCCAUUGGGGACCCACUUGACUAAUGCAGGGUAUUAGAGUUAAGUGGGUAAGGGGUCUUGAAACAUUUGCCCAUUUUUCAGGCAUUUGACCUAAACCACAGAAAAGGGAAAAACUAGUGACCUAAGGUCACAUAAAGAGUCACACAAGCAGAAAAUUGAAGAAAGAAUGAAGUCUAACUCCAGUCCAUGUUUACAACAAAUCCUCCUCCUAUCAAGAGCCAGUACCUUUAAAAAGGAAUCUCUUCUUCUCAAAAGAACCAGAGACAUUUCCAAAUGUUUUCCCCUUGAUUAAAAUCCUAGGUAUAAAAAGCAGGAAAUGUUUAUGCUCAAAAAACAAGGCUCCUCUGUAUUGAGCAAAUGGGAAUCCUUUGAUUCAAUCUGAAAUUUCUUUUCUAGGUAUGGUU
rnacentral:lncRNA from 1 species